rnacentral:miRNA from 1 species
UUUGUGCAUAUAUGUGUGCAUAUGCAUGUAUGUAUAUGGAAAUAUAUAUAAAAUCUAUUUAUGUAUCCAUCUUUUUAUAUAGAAUAACAGAAA